rnacentral:piRNA from 1 species
UGCCCAGAGAUGGAUGGUCGGGAGC